rnacentral:rRNA from 1 species
GUGGGGAAUAUUGCACAAUGGGCGAAAGCCUGAUGCAGCGACGCCGCGUGAGCGAUGAAGUAUUUCGGUACGUAAAGCUCUAUCAGCAGGGAAGAUAAUGACGGUACCUGACUAAGAAGCACCGGCUAAAUACGUGCCAGCAGCCGCGGUAAUACGUAUGGUGCAAGCGUUAUCCGGAUUUACUGGGUGUAAAGGGAGCGUAGGCGGAGUGGUAAGUCAGAAGUGAAAGCCCGGGGCUCAACCCCGGGAGUGCUUUUGAAACUAGCAUGCUAGAGUGUCGGAGAGGUAAGUGGAAUUCCUAGUGUAGCGGUGAAAUGCGUAGAUAUUAGGAGGAACACCAGUGGCGAAGGCGGCUUACUGGACGAUAACUGACGCUGAGGCUCGAAAGCGUGGGGAGCAAACAGGAUUAGAUACCCGAGUAGUCC